UGUUGCCAUAGAAAUCUCUAUUGAGUUGCUUGUAGCUAAGAGCUUUCCUGGGCCAGGGAUGUCAGCUCCAGAUUUACCACUCUCCAGCCCCAAAAGCUUUUCUUAAAGAGAGAGGUGUUUGAACUUAUGCCUGCCAAAGAAGACAGCCAGAGCGAUGAGGAGAGUGGUCCUCGAAGCAUCCAGGAGACCCCGGAGUACCACUAUCCAGCUGUGCUGGCCAUCUGCUGCUUCCCUCCACUGGGCUUCUUUGCCUUAUUCUUCUCUCACAAGACAAGAGUCUACAAGGAAGAGAACGAACAUGAAAAGGCAAAAGUUGCCUCGGAUCGCACCCUUGUUUUGGCCUUGACCUCCCUCAUUGUAGGACUCUUCAUUCCUCUCCUCUUUUUAUACCGAAUCUUCUUCUUUUAACCUGUCAGAGCACACGGCCAAACCAUCGGCUAUGUAUGACCGCGUCACUUAACCCUUUGUGCAGCUUUAGACUAGCCAGGACACCUUCUCUGUAAUGUCUGGGGCACCCAGCUGUUUGAGAUCAGAAAUAAAAACAACAGCAAUGA